AUUGAACGCUGGCGGCAGGCUUAACACAUGCAAGUCGAGCGGAGAUGAGGUGCUUGCACCUUAUCUUAGCGGCGGACGGGCGAGUAAUGCUUAGGAAUCUGCCUAUUAGUGGGGGACAACAUUCCGAAAGGAAUGCUAAUACCGCAUACGCCCUACGGGGGAAAGCAGGGGAUCUUCGGACCUUGCGCUAAUAGAUGAGCCUAAGUCGGAUUAGCUAGUUGGUGGGGUAAAGGCCUACCAAGGCGACGAUCUGUAGCGGGUCUGAGAGGAUGAUCCGCCACACUGAGACUGAGACACGGCCCAGACUCCUACGGGAGUCAGCAGUGGGGAAUAUUGGACAAUGGGCGGAAGCCUGAUCCAGCCAUGCCGCGUGUGUGAAGAAGGCCUUUUGGUUGUAAAGCACUUUAAGCGAGGAGGAGGCUACCUGGAUUAAUACUCUGGGAUAGUGGACGUUACUCGCAGAAUAAGCACCGGCUAACUCUGUGCCAGCAGCCGCAGUAACAC
rnacentral:rRNA from 1 species